GCUGGGCAUGGUGGUGCAUGCCUGCAACUCCAGUGACUCAGAAGGCUGAGGCAGGAGGAUUGCAAGUUGGAGGCCAGCUUCAGCAACUUAGCAAGACCCUGUCUCAA
rnacentral:sRNA from 1 species